rnacentral:rRNA from 1 species
AUUGAACGCUGGCGGCAGGCCUAACACAUGCAAGUCGAACGAGUGGCGGACGGGUGAGUAAUGUCUGGGAAACUGCCCGAUGGAGGGGGAUAAAUACUGGAAACAGUAGCUAAUACCGCAUACCAUCGGAUGUGCCCAGAUGGGAUUAGCUAGUAGGUGGGGUACCGGCUCACCUGGGCGACGAUCCCUAGCUGGUCUGAGAGGAUGACCAGCCACACGGGAACUGGGAAACGGUCCAGACGCCUACGGUAGGAAGUAGUGGGGAAUAUUGCACAAUGGGCGCAAGCCUGAUGCAGCCAUGCCGCGUGUAUGAAGAAGGCCUUCGGGUUGUAAAGUACUUUCAGCGAGGAGGCGUUACUCGCAGAAGAAGCAUCGGCUAACUCCGUGCCAGCAGCCGCGGUAAUAC